UGCGAACGCUGGCGGCAGGCCUAACACAUGCAAGUCGAACGAACCCUUCGGGGUUAGUGGCGGACGGGUGAGUAACACGUGGGAACGUGCCUUUAGGUUCGGAAUAACUCAGGGAAACUUGUGCUAAUACCGAAUGUGCCAUUUGCGGGAAAGAUUUAUCGCCUUUAGAGCGGCCCGCGUCUGAUUAGCUAGUUGGUGAGGUAAUGGCUCACCAAGGCUACGAUCAGUAGCUGGUCUGAGAGGAUGACCAGCCACAUUGGGACUGAGACACGGCCCAAACUCCUACGGGAGGCAGCAGUGGGGAAUCUUGCGCAAUGGGCGAAAGCCUGACGCAGCCAUGCCGCGUGGAUGAUGAAGGUCUUAGGAUUGUAAAAUCCUUUCACCGGUGAAGAUAAUGACUGUAGCCGGAGAAGAAGCCCCGGCUAACUUCGUGCCAGCCGCCGCUGUAACAC
rnacentral:rRNA from 1 species